UUUAAAAAAACAGUAAGAAUCAGCUCUCUUUUGCACAACUAAAGAUAAAUGCAGCUUAAUAGAAUAGUUUGAGUAACUUUGUGUGCGAGAAGAAAACUAUAAAGCUCAUAUAUAUCAUGAUAAUGUAUUGUUUCUGCUUUUAUUAAGGCAAAGUUAUUGAGUGGUGUAAAGAUGAGACUUAAUUUCUUCAGGCUGCAUCCUAAAGGCUAAACUAAAAGUCUUUCAAUUGAGGCUUUAGGAUUUUGAAUUAGCCAAAUAUGUUGAAAAAGAUCUGAAAAUAACCUCCAAACUUACCUGUUAUAGAAACUUGUGGCUGCUAUUUCUAAAUAUUUUUUGCUGACCCUCACUCCUAACCCUCACUCCUAACAUCAAUCAUAUACUCAAAAAUUUUAACCUCAAUAUUGGCACAUCAGUUAUCCAUCAAAAUCCAACCCCAAUUUAGUCAAAGUUGGGUCACUGUGUAAAAUAUUGAAAACAGAAUCUGAUUAUCCAAAAUUAUUUAAAACCUUUAAUUUGUAGUUGUUCGAAGAUGGCACUCCAAAUGUUGAGACUAAAAGUUCAAUGGUAAUAAUAUCAAUAUUGAAAUAUUUGAUGCUAAGAUAAAGUUUGAAUAAACUGGUGACAGAAGCAUGUCACUGUAAACAUUUGGGAAAGCAGAACAAACUAGGGGAUCCCUCUUCAGAGCACAGAAUGCCCAUCCAUGAUUUACAAAAAGAAUGUCAAGUUUUGACUCAUCAGACUGCAUGACUGUUCUCCACUUCGCCUGGGGGUCAAGUAGUCAGCAUUUCUUGAUUAAGUCUAUAAAUGGUUUCUUCCUGCACAGUAAAGUUUGUAGACGCAGUAACAAAGUGUAUUCACAAACAGAGUUUUUUGGAAGUGGUUUGAAGCCCAUGCAGUGAUUUCCACCACAGAGUCAGGAAGUAAAAAUCACCCCAGAGCCCAAAGAUCAAGAGGGGGUUUUAUUGCCAUUGUCAAUGAACAGGAUUCACAGACUAGGAUUUUUUUACGGCGUGAUGGUGCAACAUUAAACAGAGAAAAGUAUAUAAAAUACUAGAAUAAACUAUCACAACUAUCCAGUAAUGUUUUUUGGCCUUGGUCCUUUUAUUUGAAAAUCUCUUGAUUCUUAUUACACUAAUGUGUAUUAAGUGAUGAACUCCUCUAAUCCUUCGCAAUAUUAUGCAAAUUAACCUAAUUAGAUGGUAAAUGGUGUUUUCCUUAGCAUUACACAACUUGUGUUGCUGGCCUCAUAUUUUAAAUUAGAAUGUAUUUCCAUAAUAGCAUUACAUUUUUCAUUUUCAAGAUUCAAAAUGCAACAUUUACACCAUUUUCAACUGAAUGAUGCGAACAAUCAAACUCUGUUUAUUAUUUACGCUUGUCCUCAUGGUCCACAAUUAACUAUUUCGCUGAUUGAAAGUGCUGACAGAGUGACCUCAUGAGGGCGCUAAUGUAUUGGCUAAUCAGUUCCACUGCAGCGUGUCCUAUAUCCACUCGGCAGCCUGAUUCAUAAAUUAGAGCCAUUCAUAAUUGUAGCCUCAAAGCUUGAACAAUGUCACAGUUUAAUGACUGUUUUACUUUUAAAUUUGACGGCACUCUGUCUGGUUAAGGAUACUAUCACUAUUGAGGGAUCGUGAAUCGUUUUAUUGGAAUAAAUUCAUCUCUAUCACCCCGCUACAGCGACAAAGACAUAAAAAUGUCAGUAUUUUUGCUUCGUAGACACAGUUGAAAAUACAUUUAAAAAUGCGAUGAUGGCCCAUCAAGAAAAAAGUCGUUGAAAAAUAAAAAAAAACUAGAGUAAUUUAUCUCUACAUUGAAUUUAUAUACAAUGUAUAAAGUGUAUUUUUCAACAAUAAGCUCGACAGAUGUGAUGACCAUACGACAAACAGCAGUACUAACCAUCAAUCAACUGUAUUGAUUUCGGGGGGGUUUGUUUACCUGCUACUCUUGACCACGUGCUCGCAAUGCGGCCACGCAUGCGCUUUAGAGACUUUGCUUUUGGCACGCGUCUGUGUCGGUGGCGCGCACAGCUAAAAACAAGUUCCAUCCCCGCGAGCGCGCUGUCGAGAGCUUCACCUCAUGCUGAUUGGCCGUUGAGCUUAGCCCCGCCUUUUAUUACAGCGGAUUGGUUAGACGGGGAUUUUCCUGCUCACUGAUUGGAUGCUAUUUGUGGAACCGGCUGUGUAGCUAGGCUACUGUUGCCUUCAAGUGUAUCUCCAAAAAUCAAAUUUAAGAUAAGUUGAAGAUAACGCUCUGUCUUUGUUAGUUUUUCUGUCAGAAAGCACAGUUUGACGAUAUCGAGCAGACUUAACGUUUCGGAAGGUGUUGAAAGUUCGCUUCCAGUUGAGUCUUAUGGAAAUGACAAGAUUAACGUGUAGCUGCUGCUGGUGUAGAUGAGAAGAUAAAUUCUGACUUGAGCUUUGAGAGAAAAUGAUUAAAUCUACUUCAAUCAUGUCAUGGGUGUUUCUGUUUUGUUUUUACAGUGUCGAGACUCACUUGGGAGCCUAAAACACAAGACUCAUCCCAGAGAAGAAACAGUUUUAGGAAAAGUAUGGACUAAUUCUAAAGUAGUUCAGUUCUACCAACUAAAGUUUCUCUAUUAAUGAGCUCAUCUGUGUUUUUUUUACAUUAUAAAAAGAAACCUGGUUAGCAUUUCAUUGACCACAAAGAAGCUCUAUCU